UGGGUAGGCAAUGGACCACUAUGAAAGCUAAUUCAAUCUAAUAGUUUUGUGCCAGAAAGGUUUCUGAUUUUAUUGAUGCUUCAAGGAAUUGGAAUUUAUUUGUGGCUCAACAUGCUCACUUGAUUGACGUUUUGCUGGAAAUUAGGGCCACUUUGUUGCCAUAGUUCCAAGUUAUCGAUGACUCCUUUUACUAGGGAUAUGAAAGCAAUGAAGAUUCAAAGUGGUGUCUGCUUACUCAAUGCUUGUUGAUCUUGAUCGAGAUAUGCAUAUGGGGAGAAGAUGGGAUUGGAUUCGGUCUUUGCAGUGCCGUGAACGCAUCCAAUUCUUCAUUUGGCUUGUCAUGCGGGAUAAACUAAACUAGAAUAAGGUGCGUGCUCAUAAAGAUAUGACUGCAAAUGCAAGUUACAGCUAUUGUUGAGGGAGUGUCAAGUCCAUUGAGCACGUUCUAAGGAGUUGUUCGAAGGCUAAAGAGGUGUGGAAUGAGUUGCACAUUUGUGCUAUUUAACAUGACUUCUUCAAAUGUAGUUUUUAUACACAGGUGAAGCGAAAUGCUAAAUCUGCCAAAUAUAUGACUGGGACUUUCUAUGGGGCUCUCUCUUCUUAACCACGAUAUGGAGUUGAUGAAAAAGUUGUAAUGUAAGGGUGUUCAAAAACAAGUCUCAAUCUACAGGGGAAAUUUUGUGCCAUGAAAAAACAGCUUGCUGUUGAUAUCGGUUGGGCUACGGUAGGUGCAACUUCCAAUAUUGCAAAAGGGAUCCAAUGGGUUUUGUGGACGAAACCGCCGGACGGCUCAAUGAUUUUAAACAUGGAUGGAGCAUAAUAGUAAAUGGAUUAAAGAUAUAAUAGUUUGAAAGCGAAGCUCUGGGGAAUUCGAUAAGGGAUGCAAAUGGAAAGAUCAUUGGGCAUCCAAAACUUGGUUGUUGAGGUUGAUGCAAGACUAGUGGUACAUUUGCUUAAUUAGGGAAGGAUGGAUCAAGGAUAUUCCACCACAAAUAAAUAAGAUGCAUUAAUUUAGUUUCUCAAAUCUAGGAUCUUUAAUUUUCAAUUUUUUUUCAAAAAUAUUUUAUUAUUAGGCUAUAGUUAAAGAAGCAUGUGAAAAAGGUUGGUUGUUCCAAGUCCAAUCCUAUUGAAUGAGUAGACUAGCACGCCACUUUGAAGACUGGGCGGCUGCAUUUUCUAGCAGUCAUACAAAUAAAAUUGGUUAAAAUUAGUUUUCAGUCCCUGUACUUUUAGUUUUUGUACUUUAAAAAUUAAAAAUUCAAUCUUUUUAUUUUUCAAUUUAAAAAUUUUAGGCUAAUCAUUACUUUGUCGGCAGUUUUUGUCAGCAUUUAUCAAUUUAAUAUAUUUAUUUUUUGUUAAUCAUAUACCAUGUUAUGUGAGGAUAGCCUAAUUAAUAUGCUAUAAGUGAUUGGACUGAGAUUUUCAAAACUAUAAAAGUAACUUUCUUAGAUGCAAAGACUAAAUCUUAAAUUUGAUAAAAGUGUAGGAACUAACACCAUAUUUU
rnacentral:lncRNA from 1 species